rnacentral:rRNA from 1 species
GGGAAUAUUGGACAAUGGGCGGAAGCCUGAUCCAGCAACGCCGCGUGAGGGAUGACGGCCUUCGGGUUGUAAACCUCUUUCAGCGGGGACGAAGCGCCGAUGAUGGUGGUGACGGUACCCGCAGAAGAAGCACCGGCCAACUACGUGCCAGCAGCCGCGGUAAUACGUAGGGUGCGAGCGUUGUCCGGAAUUAUUGGGCGUAAAGGGUUCGUAGGCGGUUUGUCGCGUCGGGAGUGAAAACACCGGGCUUAACUCGGUGCUUGCUUUCGAUACGGGCAGACUAGAGGUAUGCAGGGGAGAACGGAAUUCCUGGUGUAGCGGUGAAAUGCGCAGAUAUCAGGAGGAACACCGGUGGCGAAGGCGGUUCUCUGGGCAUUACCUGACGCUGAGGAGCGAAAGUGUGGGGAGUGAACAGGAUUAGAUACCCUGGUAGUCCACACCGUAAACGUUGGGCGCUAGGUGUGGGGCCUAUUCCAUGGGUUCCGUGCCGCAGCUAACGCAUUAAGCGCCCCGCCUGGGGAGUACGGCCGCAAGGCUAAAACUCAAAGGAAUUGACGGAAGC